rnacentral:rRNA from 1 species
GACGAACGCUGGCGGCGUGCUUAACACAUGCAAGUCGAACGGAAAGGCCCUGCUUUUGUGGGGUGCUCGAGUGGCGAACGGGUGAGUAACACGUGAGUAACCUGCCCUUGACUUUGGGAUAACUUCAGGAAACUGGGGCUAAUACCGGAUAGGAGCUCCUGCUGCAUGGUGGGGGUUGGAAAGUUUCGGCGGUUGGGGAUGGACUCGCGGCUUAUCAGCUUGUUGGUGGGGUAGUGGCUUACCAAGGCUUUGACGGGUAGCCGGCCUGAGAGGGUGACCGGCCACAUUGGGACUGAGAUACGGCCCAGACUCCUACGGGAGGCAGCAGUGGGGAAUAUUGCACAAUGGGCGGAAGCCUGAUGCAGCAACGCCGCGUGCGUGAUGACGGCCGUCGGGUUGUAAACCGCUUUCGCCUGUGACGAAGCGUGAGUGACGGUAAUGGGUAAAGAAGCACCGGCUAACUACGUG